CACAGCCACAUCCCCAGUGCCCAGCACAGAGCCUGGCACACAUUGGGUGCCUCAGUUUCCUCAUCAGGUCGUUGUGAGUGCUCGAUGAGUUGACACGUGUAGGUCGCCAUAUGUGGACCAGUGCCUGGCACUGGAAGCAGUAGACACGUGUUAGCCGUCAUUGUCGUCCAUGUGGCUCAGAAUGCACAUAGAAGACCUGGGCGGCAGCGGUGCCAGCUGCUAUGGAGUGCCUACAACUGUCCCAUAGCCGAUGGGGACACGGGGCCUGGAAGGAAGAAGGGACUUGUAGGAGGUCACGCAGUGAGUUAGUGCCAGAGCUAGGCUCGAACCCGGGUCUCGCAGCUCCAAGACCAGCGCUCCUUGUCCUGCUUCGGGGAAGGGGUGCCAAGGGCUGGCCUGAGGUCAGGGCUGUUCCUCACCCACCGGAGUGUGCAACACCCCUCGCCAAGGAGGCUGCGCCGUGACACCAGACAAGCUGAACUUUCCGCCUUGCCCUGCCUGCCCCGGAGCGGCGGGGAGCUACACAGUCCCCCAUGACUAUGAGCUCCUCGAGGGCAGAGGAGCCCGGGUUUCUGUGCACACUAGGGACUGCUCGGAUUGAAUAUGAUACCGUAUGUGAAGUGUUUGGUAGAGUGAGGGCUCGACAACACUCCUAGCAGAUGUUCCUAGCAGAUUCGUUGUUACCUCAUUCUAUGAAGCAGGUUCUACAUCGUUACUGCUCCCAUUUUACAGAUGAGGAAAUGGAGGCACAGAGGGAUCAAGUCUCCCAAUUAGUAAGUGGUAGGGCUGAUUCGAGCCAACCUGUGGGGCUCCAAAGUCCUGCCCAUGAUCAUUACAGGACGGUCCCAGUUUUACCAUCAACUCUUCUCUUCCCAGCCAGCCUCAGCCGGGCCCAAAGCCUCUUUCCUUCUCAGAAUUUUUCCAACCAGCACCUGCUCCAUUUGCAACACCUGACACGAGACUAGCACCUUUCCCAGGCCUGAGGCCUUGGAGUCAAACCAGCCUGGAUUUGAGCCUCGCUCUGCCAUUUUCCAGAGAGUUUGGAGAAGCCACUUCCCUUCCUAAAGUCUCGGUUCCCUCAACUGCAGCAUGGGGAGAGAGCUCGUCCUAACUUUGCUGGGCUGUGGUGGGGACAACAUGAAGCCAUGCUCGGGAGCGUGUGGCACUGGAAGGGUACGUGUGCUCAGUUCAUCAGACUCUGAUCGAAAGUCAAUCACAUCCACAGAGUCCUGGGGACGCUGCCAAGUGUUUCCUUGCUUUUCCCAACACGUUCUCGGCCCCUGGAGUGCGCAGCGUGGGGACUUUAUCCUGGAGAGUCAGCGUCAGACCCCCAAGGUCACGUCACAUGCAACUGACUGGAGGAGCCUCUAGCUCCUUCUAGCUCUUUGCAGUGAACUUCAAGACAGACAGAGCUUCCUCAUGCUAACACCGACCGUCUCUUGUGGCACAGGUUGGGUGUCAUUGCUAUAGAUGCUAUGCUAUCUCUUUACCUUGCCCUCCUGAAGCAGCAGCCGCACAAAGGGUGGGCAAAGCUGUUGAGAGUCAGGGGAGAGGAGAGCAGUGAAGAGGGCGGAGAACCCGCUCCUGCCACGCCAGCAGAGAGCCUGGCGCAGGGUAGGCGUUCAGCAGCUUCUGAGUCUCAGGCCCAAGCUUUGAAUUUUGAAGCCAGCCUUAAGGGGAACGAAGGCCUGUUCCGAGCCAGGCAGCUUCCCCAGGGGCCUGCUCCUGAGAGGCAUAGGAGGGGCAGACCCCUCCCGGUGAGCAGAGGGGCGGUGCUGCCUCCCACCCAGGGUCACUGGGACUCCUUCCCGGGGCUAUUCACGAGUCCUCCCGCCUUGGCCUCCUCACUCCCAUCUGCCCUUAUAGGCCCUGGGCAGAGCUCACACCAGCCAGUCCCCUGCCUCCAGACCACAGCAGGGGCUGGCCAGAUGGGAGGACCUUCCUGGGUCUACCUCAUCCCAGGAUCUAGGUCCUUGGCUUUGUCACGUCAAAGCUUCCCUGCCCCUAACCCAGGGACCAAGGUCAUUUCUAGGCUUUCUGGGCUGUCGAUUUCCCCAUUUUUGCAUGUUCUUUGGGUGCUGUACCCAAGCCACCACGAAGGUAGGAGGAGCCCAAGAACUCAUUCAGGCCAACCUCACCCUCCGUGCUUCAGGUGGGGAAACUGAGGUUCAGUCAGAGACUUGCUGGAAGCAUGAGAGUCAUUGGCAAGUUGGCAGGGAGUGAUGGGGGUGAAACCAAGGCUCCAGGGACAUGUGUCCCACACCAGCACGUGGGUGUACAGCCAUGUCACCUGCGCUCCCAUGUACUAAAGAGGUCUUACACAUUUACAAACCAUCAUACCACAAGCUAGCAACUGGGGCUCACACCUGCAUAAACAUUCACGUCCAUGUGUACCCCCAGUGGUAGACAUGUGCACCCGCCACUGUGCACACACAUGGAUUUAUACCCACACCACACUCAUCAGUACACAAUCAGAGCCACACUCGUGCCCCACAGAAUCCCACCCAUGUGGACAAUCUCACCUGUGUGCUCUGUGCUACAUGUCCCAUGACAUGCAUGCACGCAAACAGCUGACACACACGAAUCAGUUCACCAAGGUGUCCUUGAACACAAGGAUACACAUCACACCCGCACAGCUUGUGUGUUCACCCCCACAUGGACACAGAGCAGCAUCUAGACAACCCUCCCGGAUCACUCCUCUGCAGGUGACCACGGCUGCACACACAGCCUCCUGCCUGUGCCCUCCCGCACGGCUCACACACGCUGCCUGUCUGCGUUCGGACGCAGGCACACUCACCGCCACCCACCCAGAGUGCCACCUUGCCCAGUCUCCUCCACAGACCCCCACAGCCACUUGCUCCGACCCCUCCAUGGUGGGACACCCCUCAAGGGAACUGGAGCCACCUGGCUAUCCUUGGGACUAAGAGAGCACCCAGCCCACCCCUAGCUCUGUCCCUACAUAAGGUGGCUUGGGUCCCAGGGGAGGGCAGAAGGCUGCCCAGAGCUCAAAGUCCGGAGGCCGAAGUCUUGUUUGCAGGUGCUGGGCGGAAGUUGCACAACCCGCCUCAGCCCGGGUGACACGGGUUUAUGGUCUCUGGCUUCCCCUUGGCUGCAGGCCCAGGCCCAGCCAGCAACCUGCUUCUUGGGGAGAGGGUGGGGAAGGUGGCUUCUCUCCCCUACCUGGGGAACCGGUGGCCAAGGAAGGCCCCACCUGUUCCCUGCUAUGUGUGCUGCAUGCCCAACACUGAGGUGCACAAAGCCUAGAACCCAACCUCUCCUUUCCUGGAUGGGAAACUGAGGCCAAAGAAAAGCAGGGGGAUUUGCCCAGGGUCACCCCGCAAGCUGGAGGCCAGGCAGCACUGGUACCCAGGCUCAGUCUUUUCUCUAAGCCCUUUGUCAAAAGAAAGAUCACUCUGAAGCCUGACAGUUCUAAUGCAAAUGAGCAGAGCUCCUCUGGGUGCAGAAGGAAGGGACCCCAGAGCCCGGGAGUAGGGACCACCCUUCUCACCCCAUGCCCACCAUGGCUGAGUCGGUUAAUCAAAGGAUCACUCUGCUGCAUCACCAGCUCAUUGAGCUUAGCAAAUCUACGCCAACUUAAAAAAUAUAUAUUUUUUUAAUUUGUGAAA